AUGAGUCAAUGUUGGGGUACUCUUAUAUUGCCAACAAGAUGUUUGAUAGUGAGGAUGAAGGUUAUAUAUUCUAUAAAAAAUAUGGUCUUGAGAAAGGUUUUAGUGUCCGGAGAAGCUAUGUUGAGUGGGAUGGAUCCAUUAAGGAAAAUUGUGUGUAGUCGUGAAGGGGUUCAUGAAGAGAAGCACAUGAAGAGGAAGAUGGAAGAUAGAAAGAGGAGGCCACGAAGUAUAACUCAUGUAGGGUGUAAAGCUAAAUUGGUGAUUGCAAGACAAGAGGAAACAUGUCAGUGGUUUGUGAAGGAUUUCAUCGAUGAACACAACCAUCCUCUAGCCCCACGGGGUCUUUCGUGUCUUUUGAGUUCACACAAAAGAAUUAGCGAUGAGCAAAAAACGGACAUUGCAGAAAUGGAAAAAUCUGGGAUCAGGAAACACCAUAUUAUGGAUAUUUUGUGCAUGCAAUACAGUGGAUAUGAUGAGGUUGGAUGCACGACGAGGGACAUUUACAAUUUCUGCCAUGCUAACAAGCAGGAAUCAAUCGCUUCCGGUGAUCAAUCACAUGGUGGCGCGGCGAGAGCAAGAUUCAGAUUUUUUUUCUUCAGCUACUUGGUUGAUGAUGUUGGCCAUCUAAAGGGACUUUUCUGGUGUGAUAGUCAACCCCGACUUGAAUACGAGGCUUUUGGAGACAUUAUUGUUUUUGAUAGCACAUAUAGAACCAAUAAGUACAAUCUGCCAUUUAUGUCAUUUGUCAAGUUGAGUCACCACCGCGGCACUGUUAUUUUUGGAUGUGGUAUCAUUUCUCAUGAAACAAGCCAGGCAUACGAGUGGAUGUUACAGAUCUCUUCUGAUGCCAUGGGAUAG
rnacentral:rRNA from 1 species